rnacentral:rRNA from 1 species
CAGGUAGGACUACCCGCUGAACUUAAGCAUAUCAAAA